rnacentral:misc_RNA from 1 species
GCAAACUUGGUCAUUUAGAGGAAGUAAAAGUCGUAACAAGGUUUCCGUAGGUGAACCUGCGGAAGGAUCAUUAGUAAACUGAAUCGAGAGCUCUUGGUGGUAACACUAGGAGUUUUCUUUCUUGUGAACUGGAUUGUUGGCUGGCUAUUUUUGUAUGGCAAAUGCUUGUUUGGGGUUUUUACUGUUUGGCAUGAGAAGCAUUUUGUCAGUCAAAAACAAGUGGGUUAGCAAUUUACUGUUUGUGAUUUUUUGACUUGAUUUUUAACCAAGACAACUUUCAGCAAUGGAUCUCUUGGCUCUUGCAUCGAUGAAGAACGCAGC